GUCUUUGCUAGAGGAGCACCCUUCAGAGAUAGUUUUGGGGGUUUUUAUGUUACGUACCGGUAUAUUAUUGUACUCGCUGGAGCGAGGUUGUUCAGUAAUUUCUGUAUGUACAGUGAACCCUUUAUGUUUUAUAUAUAUACAUGUUCAGUUUCAGCAGCUCUAUAUUUCUAGUUGUAGCUAUCGCUUCGUAUAUACGAAAAUUUCUAUGUAUACAGCGGGUCUGUUGGCGUACCCGGAAAAACGUUGUAAUUCGGGACGUGACAAUGUAGGAGGGCAUAAUGCAAUGUUUUAAGACACAGAGGAACAGAGUAAAAAUAUAGUAUACCAUGGGGUGGUAUUUGAACUUUUUUUCUUUAUUUUAUGUG
rnacentral:lncRNA from 1 species